rnacentral:rRNA from 1 species
GUGCCAGCAGCCGCGGUAAUACGGGGGGUGCGAGCGUUGUCCGGAUUCACUGGGCGUAAAGGGCGCGUAGGCGGCCGCAUCAGUCGGGCCUGUAAGUGCGGGGCUCAACCCCGUGAUGGGCUCGGGACGGUGUAGCUGGGGCGCGGCAGAGGGAGACGGAAUGCCGGGUGUAGUGGUGAAAUGCGUAGAGAUCCGGCGGAACACCGGUGGUGAAGACGGUCUCCUGGGCCGAGAGCCGACGCUGAGGCGCGAGAGCGUGGGGAGCGAACCGGAUUAGAUACCCUGGUAGUCC